ACGCCGGGGAUAACAGGCUGAUACCCCCCAAGAGUUCACAUCGACGGGGGUGUUUGGCACCUCGAUGUCGGCUCAUCACAUCCUGGGGCUGUAGCCGGUCCCAAGGGUAUGGCUGUUCGCCAUUUAAAGUGGUACGCGAGCUGGGUUUAGAACGUCGUGAGACAGUUUGGUCCCUAUCUGGUGUGGGCGUUAGAAACUUGAGAGGAGCUGCUCCUAGUACGAGAGGACCGGAGUGGACGUACCUCUGGUGUUCCAGUUGUCAUGCCAAUGGCAUUGCUGGGUAGCUAUGUACGGACGGGAUAACCGCUGAAAGCAUCUAAGCGGGAAGCCCCCCUCNAGAUUAGGUUUCUCUGGACNUUUAAGGUCCCUAAAGGGUCGUUGUAGACCACAACGUUGAUAGGCGGGGUGUGGAAGUGCAGUAAUGCAUUAAGCUAACCCGUACUAAUUGCCCGUGAGGCUUGAUCAUAUAACACCCAAGAAG
rnacentral:rRNA from 1 species